ACCUGGUGGCGAGCGGCGGACGGGUGAGUAAUGCCUAGGAAUCUGCCUGGUAGUGGGGGAUAACGCUCGGAAACGGACGCUAAUACCGCAUACGUCCUACGGGAGAAAGCAGGGGACCUUCGGGCCUUGCGCUAUCAGAUGAGCCUAGGUCGGAUUAGCUAGUUGGUGAGGUAAUGGCUCACCAAGGCGACGAUCCGUAACUGGUCUGAGAGGAUGAUCAGUCACACUGGAACUGAGACACGGUCCAGACUCCUACGGGAGGCAGCAGUGGGGAAUAUUGGACAAUGGGCGAAAGCCUGAUCCAGCCAUGCCGCGUGUGUGAAGAAGGUCUUCGGAUUGUAAAGCACUUUAAGUUGGGAGGAAGGGCAUUAACCUAAUACGUUAGUGUUUUGACGUUACCGACAGAAUAAGCACCGGCUAACUCUGUGCCAGCAGCCGCGGUAAUACAGAGGGUGCAAGCGUUAAUCGGAAUUACUGGGCGUAAAGCGCGCGUAGGUGGUUCGUUAAGUUGGAUGUGAAAUCCCCGGGCUCAACCUGGGAACUGCAUUCAAAACUGUCGAGCUAGAGUAUGGUAGAGGGUGGGUGGAAUUUCCUGUGUAGCGGUGAAAUGCGUAGAUAUAGGAAGGAACACCAGUGGCGAAGGCGACCACCUGGACUGAUACUGACACUGAGGUGCG
rnacentral:rRNA from 1 species